rnacentral:rRNA from 1 species
UGGCGGACGGGUGAGUAAUGUCUGGGAAACUGCCCGAUGGAGGGGGAUAACUACUGGAAACGGUAGCUAAUACCGCAUAAUGUCUACGGACCAAAGCGGGGGACCUCCGGGCCUCGCGCCAUCAAAUGAACCCAUAUGGGAUUAGCUUGUAGGUAAGGUAACGGCUUACCUAGGCGACGAUCCCUAGCUGGUCUGAGAGGAUGAUCAGCCACACUGGGACUGAGACACGGCCCAG